GCAGCCGCGGUAAUACGUAUGGUGCAAGCGUUAUCCGGAUUUACUGGGUGUAAAGGGAGCGUAGACGGCUGUGUAAGUCUGAUGUGAAAACCCGGGGCUCAACCCCGGGACUGCAUUGGAAACUAUGCAGCUAGAGUGUCGGAGAGGUAAGCGGAAUUCCUAGUGUAGCGGUGAAAUGCGUAGAUAUUAGGAGGAACACCAGUGGCGAAGGCGGCUUACUGGACGAUAACUGACGUUGAGGCUCGAAAGCGUGGGGAGCAAACAGGAUUAGAUACCCC
rnacentral:rRNA from 1 species